rnacentral:misc_RNA from 1 species
AUAUUAUGUUUAUUAGACUUAUUAAGGUCUAUGGUCAUUCUAUAAAUUUUCUAGUGUGUAUAAAAACAUAGUCACAGCAGAAGAACUAGGUUCUCCCUUAACGCUGGACUACAAAAGAUGCACAGGGGUAUGAGGUUUCGGAGUGCACAUUAUUUUUUUGCCUUGUGAGGCCAGCACAUCCUUUAGAAUCGGUAAUGAUCCUUCCGCAGGUUCACCUACGGAAA